rnacentral:rRNA from 1 species
AUUGAACGCUGGCGGCAUGCCUUACACAUGCAAGUCGAACGGCAGCACGGGACCUUGCUCCUGGUGGCGAGUGGCGAACGGGUGAGUAAUACAUCGGAACGUACCCUGAAGUGGGGGAUAACGUAGCGAAAGUUACGCUAAUACCGCAUAUUCUGUGAGCAGGAAAGAGGGGGAUCGCAAGACCUCUUGCUUUAGGAGCGGCCGAUGUCGGAUUAGCUAGUUGGUGAGGUAAAGGCUCACCAAGGCGACGAUCCGUAGCGGGUCUGAGAGGAUGAUCCGCCACACUGGGACUGAGACACGGCCCAGACUCCUACGGGAGGCAGCAGUGGGGAAUUUUGGACAAUGGGCGCAAGCCUGAUCUAGCCAUGCCGCGUGAGUGAAGAAGGCC